UGCCUGAAGUUGCCUUCCAGUUGGAACAUCUUGAGGUGGACAGUAUCUCGGCAGCACUUGUUGCUCCCGUCUGCAGCUUCCUCGCCCCUACUCUCCGCAAAUUAUCCAUCUGUGGCGAUGACCGGGUCAAAGUAUUCAGCGACGAACAAGAGGGGGCUCUUCAGCUACUUACGUCCCUCGAAAGAUUAUCAUUUUAUGAUUCAGACGUUCUGCAGUCCCUCCCUGAAGGUUUACAUCAGCUUCCUUCUCUCACUGAGCUACGGAUCUGCCGUUGUCCUGGAAUCAAAUCGCUUCCGAAGAAAGGCCUCCCCAGCUCUCUGGAAAAGCUGUCGGUAUCUGACUGCAGCAGCGAACUUGAAGAGCAAAGCAAAAUAUUCCAAGAAGAGAAGAACAAAAGAUUCGAAGAAGAGAGAGAAAGACAAUCGGAGUCAGACUAGAUACUUCUCCUACAAAGUACUGUUCUCUACCUACCUACCAGGGGCUCUAGCCGGCAUGAGCACCACUGCUCUUUAAAUUCAACCACAAUGGUGGUGCAGCUCUCUGUCGGAUGAGAAUCAUACGUCUUCUAUUGGUCCGUGUGCACAAUUCUCAAGAACUGGAGUACUGGACGCGAGACAGUAGAUCGAUAAGGGGUAUAUGAUAUAAGCAUCCAUUCUGCAAAAUUGUGCUUCAUCAUGCACAUUAGUACCACAUGCAUCAUCCUUCAUCAGGGGCAUCAUAUAUCAGGAGGUCUGGAACUUGCAAGCAU